CUCUUGUAGAUCUCAUAAUUUCUCUGCAAAUAUUUUAGUUAAACUGAAUUUUCAUGAAACCUUUAUAUGAAAGAUGAGUUUGAAGAUGAAUUUUGGUUUUCAAAUCCUUCUAAUUUAUAAUAAUGACAGUUUAUUUCCGUGAAAGGCAUAUUAUGUAGAUAUACACGAAGGAAAACAUUUUUUGUCAGAAUAUUACAAGGGAAGAUAAUGUUGUGAAAUUUUUGAAAGGGGAGACAAUUCAACUUGAAGGUUUUAACUGAUUUUAACGAGAAAUAUAAAGCUUGGACAAUAAAUGGCAGAAUAGACAAGGAGGAGGGUGUUUUCUUCUGUGAGCUUGAUCAAAAUAAUUAUAGUUUGGGCUAAUGCAGAUAUUGCUUAUUUCUUACAAUAUUACAAUAUGGGGCAUUUAUGUCCUUUAAACUCAAAAUUUUAUUUAAGCUAGUUUAAAUUGAAAUAAAUAAUUUCAGGGGUAUCAACAUUGAUCGCUAAAAAUACAGGAGGAGUUGUCCAUCAUGCAAUAAGAUGUCAGCAAUGCAGAAUCUGUGACAGUGCAACAAAAAGGGGGAUUCAGCAUAAAGAGCACAAUUGUAAGAAAAAUUGGACAGGCUCAGCGAAGGCUAUGGUGCCUGAUAUGCUAGUUCAGAUGGUAAUGGAUGUGAAGAACAAAGGGAUCAACAUAGAUGAAAUUGCAGGUUCAUGCAUCCAUGGGACUGUCUCCUGGAAAGGAAAAAAAAAAAAAAAGAAGCUCCAGAAUCAACAUGAAAAGGAACAAAAAACAACAAAAAAAAAGGCAAAAACCAAAGAAGCCAAGAGCAGACAAGAACAUAUAAGACUUCUAGUAAAGAAAUAAGGGAAGGAAAAACUUACGAAAGUGAAAUAGGAUUAAAACCUGAAGUAACAGACAAGGAGUCCCAGGAGAUUCCUGAAAUACAAGACAUCACAAAGAUCUCUUUGAAUGAACAAAAGGUUAUCAAAGCACCAGUAGUAAUUUUUGAUUUAGAGACAACUGGCCUCAGUAGGAAAUCUGACAUUACCCAAUUAGUAGCCUAUUCAGAAACAGUGAACUUUAGCACUUACAUUUUUCCGUCCCAGGCAAUAUCCAAAGAAGCAUCAGAGGUCACACAAAUUUUUGUGAACGGUAAUCAGAUGUUUCACAACAGUACUGCAGUCCAAUACAAGAUGGCCCAUGAAGCAUUGAUGAACUUUAUUAUAUUUUUAUCAAGUUUCUAGAAAAUGUAUUCUUGUAGGUCAUAAUAUCAAACGCUUUGACAGCCAUGUGUUAUAUAACCAAUU